rnacentral:rRNA from 1 species
GGCAACCCUGACGGAGCAACGCCGCGUGGGGGAGGAAGGUCUGUGGAUUGUAAACUCCUUUUCUCUAGGAAGAAGUUCUGACGGUACUAGAGGAAUCAGCAUCGGCUAACUCCGUGCCAGCAGCCGCGGUAAGACGGAGGAUGCAAGCGUUAUCCGGAAUUAUUGGGCGUAAAGCGUCCGUAGGCGGUUCAUCAAGUCUGCCGUUAAAGACUGCAGCUCAACUGUGGGCCGGCGGUGGAAACUGAUGAACUUGAGUAUGGUAGGGGUAGAGGGAAUUCCCAGUGUAGCGGUGAAAUGCGUAGAUAUUGGGAAGAACACCAGUGGCGAAGGCGCUCUACUAGACCGCAACUGACACUGAGGGACGAAAGCUAGGGGAGCG